GACGAACGCUGGCGGCGUGCUUAACACAUGCAAGUCGAACGGUAAGGCCCCAGCUUGCUGGGGUACACGAGUGGCGAACGGGUGUGUAACACGUGGGUGACCUGCCCCGCACUUCGGGAUAAGCCUGGGAAACUGGGUCUAAUACCGGAUAGGACCGCACCGUGAGGGUGUGGUGGAAAGUUUUUCGGUGUGGGAUGGGCCCGCGGCCUAUCAGCUUGUUGGUGGGGUAAUGGCCUACCAAGGCGGCGACGGGUAGCCGGCCUGAGAGGGUGGACGGCCACAUUGGGACUGAGACACGGCCCAGACUCCUACGGGAGGCAGCAGUGGGGAAUAUUGCACAAUGGGCGGAAGCCUGAUGCAGCGACGCCGCGUGGGGGAUGACGGCCUUCGGGUUGUAAACUCCUUUCACCAGCGACGAAGGUUUUCUGACGGUAGAUGGAGAAGAAGCACCGGCUAACUACGUG
rnacentral:rRNA from 1 species